rnacentral:rRNA from 1 species
GACGAACGCUGGCGGCGUGCUUAACACAUGCAAGUCGAACGGAAAGGCCCUGCUUUUGUGGGGUGCUCGAUUGGCGAACGGGUGAGUAACACGUGAGUAACCUGCCCUUGACUUUGGGAUAACUUUAGGAAACUGGGGCUAAUACCGGAUAGGAGCUCCUGCUGCAUGGUGGGGGUUGGAAAGUUUCGGCGGUUGGGGAUGGUCUGGCGGCUUAUCAGCUUGUUUGUGAGGUAGGGGCUUACCAAGGCUUUGACGGCUAGCCGGCCUGAGAGGUGGACCGGGGACAUGGGGACUAAGGGAGGCAGCAGUCGCGUACGGUAGGCAGUAGGGGGAAAUAUUACGCAGCAGCGGGAAGCGUGAGGCAGAAGCGCUGGGUGCGGAAAACCGGGUUUUGGGGGGAGAACCGAUGUCGCAUGUGACGAAGAGUGCUUGACGGUAAUGGGUAAAGAAGCAACGGCUAACUACGUG